rnacentral:rRNA from 1 species
UACGAAGGGGGCUAGCGUUGCUCGGAAUUACUGGGCGUAAAGCGCACGUAGGCGGUCUUUUAAGUCGGGGUGAAAUCCUGGAGCUCAACUCCAGAACUGCCUUCGAUACUGGAAGACUUGAGUCCGGGAGAGGUCGAGUGGAACUGCGAGUGUAGAGGUGAAAUUCGUAGAUAUUCGCAAGAACACCAGUGGCGAAGGCGGACUCACUGGCCC